rnacentral:rRNA from 1 species
CCUACGGGGGGCUGCAGUGGGGAAUAUUGGACAAUGGGCGAAAGCCUGAUCCAGCCAUGCCGCGUGUGUGAAGAAGGCCUUCGGGUUGUAAAGCACUUUCAGUGGGGAAGAAAGCCUUGGGGCUAAUACCCUCGAGGAAGGACAUCACCCACAGAAGAAGCACCGGCUAACUCCGUGCCAGCAGCCGCGGUAAUACGGAGGGUGCGAGCGUUAAUCGGAAUUACUGGGCGUAAAGCGCGCGUAGGCGGUCUGAUAAGCCGGUUGUGAAAGCCCCGGGCUCAACCUGGGAACGGCAUCCGGAACUGUCCGGCUAGAGUGCAGGAGAGGAAGGUAGAAUUCCCGGUGUAGCGGUGAAAUGCGUAGAGAUCGGGAGGAAUACCAGUGGCGAAGGCGGCCUUCUGGACUGACACUGACGCUGAGGUGCGAAAGCGUGGGUAGCAAACAGGAUUAGAUACCCUUGUAGUC